rnacentral:rRNA from 1 species
UACAGAGGUGGCAAGCGUUGUUCGGAAUUACUGGGCGUAAAGGGCGCGCAGGCGGUCUUGCAAGUCCCGUGUGAAAUCCCUCGGCUCAACUGGGAAACUGCAUCGGAAACUGAUCGGCUGGAAGGUGGGAGAGGGUAGUGGAAUUCCCGGUGUAGUGGUGAAAUGCGUAGAUAUCGGAAGGAACACCAGUGGCGAAGGCGACUACCUGGCCCAUACCUGACGCUGAGGCGCGAAAGCUAGGGGAGCGAGCGGG